GCCCAGAUGGUGGAAUUGGUAGACACGCGAGACUUAAAAUCUCGUUUCUUCGGAAGUCCGGGUUCAAUUCCCGGUCUGGGCACCA
rnacentral:tRNA from 1 species